UCCUCUAUUGAGAACUCUGCACACCUAGG
rnacentral:piRNA from 1 species